rnacentral:rRNA from 1 species
UGGGGAAUCUUCCGCAAUGGACGAAAGUCUGACGGAGCAACGCCGCGUGUAUGAUGAAGGUCUUCGGAUUGUAAAGUACUGUCAUUGGGGAAGAACGGUUUUCUUGAAAAGAUUGAGGAGACAUGACGGUACCCAAGGAGGAAGCCCCGGCUAACUACGUGCCAGCAGCCGCGGUAAUACGUAGGGGGCAAGCGUUGUCCGGAAUUAUUGGGCGUAAAGGGCGCGUAGGCGGGCCUUUAAGUCCGGUGUGAAAGAUCAGGGCUCAACCCUGAGAGUGCAUCGGAAACUGGAGGCCUUGAGGACAGGAGAGGAAAGUGGAAUUCCACGUGUAGCGGUGAAAUGCGUAGAUAUGUGGAGGAACACCAGUGGCGAAGGCGACUUUCUGGACUGUAACUGACGCUGAGGCGCGAAAGCGUGGGGAGCAAACAGGAUUAGAUACCCUGGUAGUCCACGCCGUAAACGAUGAGUGCUAGGUGUAGAGGGUAUCGACCCCUUCUGUGCCGCAGUUAACACAAUAAGCACUCCCGCCUGGGGAGUACGGCCGCAAGGUUGAAACUCAAAUGAAUUGACGGGG